AUGAUGCUUAUCAACUGGUCCAUUCGGAACGAGCGAAAUGCCCAGAUUUUUCGGAAGAAAUCAAUGCCACCUCCAAUCAUCGUUGCAAACAUCAAGAGUGAUGCUGAUCUUUGGGAAAUCACGGGAGCUAAAAUUUUGAGUGAUAUCUUACCGGGGUCCGGGGGAGUAGUCCCCGUUCAUAAUAUUUGGCGCGAGUACGCCGGAGAUCCAGGCCGGCCGGAGGUCAUGCAUCACGAGCGGAUCCGGAUCGACUCCGAUCUGACGCGGGGAGCCCGGGGCCUCCCAGCGCCAAGACGCGCCCACCGGGACCUCGCUGCCCGCGCAGCCGAAGGGAACCGGCCUACCUCACCGACAAUCACUCCCCGCCGCCGGGGGAGCGCCGUCCGCACCAGCGAGGCCGCCGCCUCAGAUCCGGACUCUCACCACCGAAAGGGAGCGAUCUCGCCCCGCUGCCACCAUCCCGGGAGCCGGCGCCGGCUUCGCCGGCCGUUCCUCCGGUGGCGGCGAGGUUGGGAUGGAGAUGGGAAUGGUGAAGGGCGGCUAGAUCUGGGUUCCCCCGUCGCCGCCAGGGAGGGCGGCGCGGGGGACGGGUCAAUCAUACAUCACACAAUCACCGUGUUUUCCCAACAAGAAUUUUCAUCGACAGUGUUCUCCCACAUGUCGUCCGUGCACGCACAACCCGGGAAGCUGCUGCUCCAUUCUGCACCCACCAUGUACGGCUCUUCUCAAUAA
rnacentral:rRNA from 1 species